AACGAACGCUGGCGGCAGGCCUAACACAUGCAAGUCGAGCGGGACCUUCGGGUCUAGCGGCGGACGGGUUAGUAACACGUGGGAACGUACCUCUCUCUACGGAAUAGCCUCGGGAAACUGAGCGUAAUACCGUAUACGCCCUUUGGGGGAAAGAUUUAUCGGAGAGAGAUCGGCCCGCGUCUGAUUAGAUAGUUGGUGGGGUAAUGGCCUACCAAGUCUACGAUCAGUAGCUGGUUUGAGAGGAUGAUCAGCAACACUGGGACUGAGACACGGCCCAGACUCCUACGGGAGGCAGCAGUGGGGAAUCUUAGACAAUGGGCGCAAGCCUGAUCUAGCCAUGCCGCGUGAGUGAAGAAGGCCUUAGGGUCGUAAAGCUCUUUCGCUGGGGAAGAUAAUGACUGUACCCAGUAAAGAAACCCCGGCUAACUCCGUGCCAGCCGCCGCUGUAA
rnacentral:rRNA from 1 species